rnacentral:rRNA from 1 species
UACGUAGGGCGCGAGCGUUGUCCGGAAUUAUUGGGCGUAAAGAGCUCGUAGGCGGCCUGUUGCGUCCGCUGUGAAAUCCCAGGGCUCAACCCUGGGCGUGCAGUGGAUACGGGCAGGCUGGAGGCAGGCAGGGGAGAACGGAAUUCCCGGUGUAGCGGUGAAAUGCGCAGAUAUCGGGAGGAACACCUGUGGCGAAAGCGGCUCACUGGACCACAACUGACGCUGAUGCACGAAAGCUAGGGGAGCAAACAGG